UCGGGGUACUCGAGUGGCGAACGGGUGAGUAACACGUGGGUGAUCUGCCCUGCACUUUGGGAUAAGCCUGGGAAACUGGGUCUAAUACCGAAUAGGACCACGCGCUUCAUGGUGUGUGGUGGAAAGCUUUUGCGGUGUGGGAUGGGCCCGCGGCCUAUCAGCUUGUUGGUGGGGUAAUGGCCGACCAAGGCGACGACGGGUAGCCGGCCUGAGAGGGUGACCGGCCACACUGGGACUGAGAUACGGCCCAGACUCCUACGGGAGGCAGCAGUGGGGAAUAUUGCACAAUGGGCGCAAGCCUGAUGCAGCGACGCCGCGUGAGGGAUGACGGCCUUCGGGUUGUAAACCUCUUUCAAUAGGGACGAAGCGCAAGUGACGGUACCUAUAGAAGAAGCACCGGCCAACUACGUGCCAGCAGCCGCGGUAAUACGUAGGGUGCGAGCGUUGUCCGGGAAUUACUGGGCGUAAAGAGCUCGUAGGUGGUUUGUCGCGUUGUUCGUGAAAACUCACAGCUUAACUGUGGGCGUGCGGGCGAUACGGGCAGACUAGAGUACUGCAGGGGAGACUGGAAUUCCUGGUGUAGCGGUGGAAUGCGCAGAUAUCAGGAGGAACACCGGUGGCGAAGGCGGGUCUCUGGGCAGUAACUGACGCUGAGGAGCGAAAGCGUGGGGAGCGAACAGGAUUAGAUACCCUGGUAGUCCACGCCGUAAACGGUGGGUACUAGGUGUGGGUUCCUUCCUUGGGAUCCGUGCCGUAGCUAACGCAUUAAGUACCCCGCCUGGGGAGUACGGCCGCAAGGCUAAAACUCAAAGGAAUUGACGGGGGCCCGCACAAGCGGCGGAGCAUGUGGAUUAAUUCGAUGCAACGCGAAGAACCUUACCUGGGUUUGACAUGCACAGGACGCCGGCAGAGAUGUCGGUUCCCUUGUGGCCUGUGUGCAGGUGGUGCAUGGCUGUCGUCAGCUCGUGUCGUGAGAUGUUGGGUUAAGUCCCGCAACGAGCGCAACCCUUGUCCUAUGUUGCCAGCGGGUUAUGCCGGGGACUCGUAGGAGACUGCCGGGGUCAACUCGGAGGAAGGUGGGGAUGACGUCAAGUCAUCAUGCCCCUUAUGUCCAGGGCUUCACACAUGCUACAAUGGCCGGUACAAAGGGCUGCGAUGCCGUGAGGUGGAGCGAAUCCUUUCAAAGCCGGUCUCAAGUUCGGAUCGGGGUCUGCAACUCGACCCCGUGAAGUCGGAGUCGCUAGUAAUCGCAGAUCAGCAACGCUGCGGUGAAUACGUUCCCGGGCCUUGUACACACCGCCCGUCACGUCAUGAAAGUCGGUAACACCCGAAGCC
rnacentral:rRNA from 1 species